GUUUUCAUCGUGUAGUGGUUAUCACGGUUGCCUCACACGCAACAGUCCCUGGUUCGAAACCGGGUGGAAACA